CUUUGCCAUUUACACUCUGCAGCUGUCUGUGAACGCAGUGUUUGGUUGUGACUCAGCAUGGUUGACGCUAGAGUCUCUAGCUAGAUUGGAGGGAACCAUGCUAAGUUGCCAUCAGCGGCUUGGAAUGAUGAAGGAUUCCAUGGUUUUGCAGCUGCGGAUUAAUCGACUUAUGCUUAAUUGCAUGAUCCAUAUAGAGACAAGGCUGCAAGCUGCAGCUGCAGAACCUCAGGUUGAGGAGUGUGAGGAGGAUGCCCCAGAAAGUGGAGAGUCUGGAGAUGCCCCAAGGGAGCAUGCGUAACUCCUCCGUCACAUUUAUUGGUGUUAAUUUGUUGGCUAUGUUCUGAAAUUGUUAUUGUUUUUUAUGUUUGUGCCUGUUGCACUUUGUUUGCUCUUGUCAGAUGCCUCCAAAGUGGCUGUGUUGGCCUUUUUUUGCCUUUGUCAACUCCCUGAUAGGACUGUGAUGCACUAUGUCACCUUGUCAGAUGGCUCCAAAGGGGCUACAUUGGCCUUUGUUUGUCCUUGUCAACUCCCUGAAAGGACUGUAAUGCACUAUGUCACCUUGUCAGAUGGCUCCAAAGGGGCUACGUUGGCCUAUGUUUUCCCUUGUCAACUCCCUGAAAGGACUGUAAUGCACUAUGUCACCUUGUCAGAUGGCUCCAAAGGAGCUGUGUUAACUUUUGUGUGCCCUUGUCAACACCCUGAAAGGACUGUAAUGCACUAUGUCACCUUGCAGAUGGCUCCAAAGGAGCUGUGUUAACCUUUGUUUGCCCUUGUUAACACCCUGAAAGGACUGUGAUGCACUAUGUCACCUUGUCAGAUGGCUCCAAAGGGGCUGUGUUGGCCUUUGUUUGCCCUUGUCAACUCCCUGAAAGGAUUGUGAUGCACUAUGUUAGCUUGUCAGAUGGCUCGAAAGGGGCUGUGUUAUCAUUCAGACUUAUUUGUACUAUUAUGUUAUUUAAAUAUGUUUUAUGACCAUCAUAAAUCAUAUUUAUCAUAAUAAAAACAAUCUUUUAAUUAAAA